CUUCCCGCCGCCCGCCCACUGCCUGCCCGCCCCGAGGUCCCUCCGCGGCGACGACGCCGGGCAGGCCGCGCCCGCCGCGCCUGCCAUGGGAGGUGGCACAGCACUUGGAUCUUCGAGCAGCUAUGUCCACAGAUACCUAAGGAUGCAAGACAGAGGAGAGAAAAGAAGGCAGAGCUGACCAGAGAGGAAAGGGAUUGCCUAUCAGGGAGUGAGCUGCCUGUCACUGCAAUUAUGCAAGCAGAGCUAGCUGGCAAGUGGUCAGACACGCUGGAGAAGGUGUUUCUACUAGGGCAGGUGGAAACCCUUGCAAAGUCACAAACUGGGUGCCGGCUUCCUCACCAAGACUUCUCAGGAAGACCCCGCCAGGUAUAGACACCCACGAUAUCCUCAGCCAGGGUGAUUCCCCAGGCUGGUUUCUCACUCUCCAAUUAUCCCUGCUCCAUUUGGCCACGAGUGGCUACCUUCCCUUCCAGAGACCUAGAGAAGGAAGAUGGCAAUCAGUCAUCAUUGCUCCAAUCCAUCCUUGCCCCAUCCUCUGCCAAGUGAGGAAUACAUAGAAGAGUACCCCACCGAAGGCUGACUUCUCUCUCAGGUUCUCACGAGAUGUACAUUGAUAUCGAGGGCAGAGCUCCAGGCUUACAAUCAGAAAACCUAGAAAUUCUAGCACUGAUUAGCUGUUGACUCAAAACAUGUUAUUUAAUGUCUGUGGGCCACUGUUUACUUAUGUCUAAAAUGGAAAUAGCACACCAGCCUCAUGGUGCAUCAGGAGGCUAAAGAGAUAAAAUACCUAACCCCUAGCACAUGGUAGUUGUUCUACUUGUGUCUGCUUCCUGCCCUCCUUCUCUCCUUUUUUCCUUCCUUUUGACCCUAGAUAAGUAGUUUCCAUCCUGGGGGAAAAAGGGUCCUGGACCAUAGAAGUCAGUGUGUGAAGGUACCCCUAGGGAUUCAGGGCAGAAAUUGUCAAUAUUUGCAAAAGCCUAACAGAACUGUCCCAUUUACUCUAGAUAAAAUGUCAAGUUUCUUUGCUUUGGACAGAUAUUGUAUCAUAUUACUUAUCUCAUGCUGAUUAAAAGUUCUUAUUCCAGUUCUAAUUGGCUGUUGAUUAAUAAUACAAAGAAGGGCCGGGCACAGUGGCUCAUGCCUGUAAUCCUAACACUCUG